GACGAACGCUGGCGGCGUGCCUAAUACAUGCAAGUAGAACGCUGAAGGAGGAGCUUGCUUCUCUGGAUGAGUUGCGAACGGGUGAGUAACGCGUAGGUAACCUACCUGGUAGCGGGGGAUAACUAUUGGAAACGAUAGCUAAUACCGCAUAAGAGUAGAUGUCGCAUGACAUUUGCUUAAAAGGUGCAAUUGCAUCACUACCAGAUGGACCUGCGUUGUAUUAGCUAGUUGGUGAGGUAACGGCUCACCAAGGCAACGAUACAUAGCCGACCUGAGAGGGUGAUCGGCCACACUGGGACGGAGACACGGCCCAGACUCCUACGGGAGGCAGCAGUAGGGAAUCUUCGGCAAUGGACGGAAGUCUGACCGAGCAACGCCGCGUGAGUGAAGAAGGUUUUCGGAUCGUAAAGCUCUGUUGUAAGAGAAGAACGAGUGUGAGAGUGGAAAGUUCACACUGUGACGGUAUCUUACCAGAAAGGGACGGCUAACUACGUG
rnacentral:rRNA from 1 species